rnacentral:misc_RNA from 1 species
AGACCAGGAAGCAGGCUGCCG